AACUUUCAACAAUGGAUCUCUUGGUUCCGGCAUCGAUGAAGAACGCAGCGAAAUGCGAUAAGUAAUGUGAAUUGCAGAAUUCCGUGAAUCAUCGAAUCUUUGAACGCACAUUGCGCCCCUCGGUAUUCCGGGGGGCAUGCCUGUCCGAGCGUCAUUGCAACCUUCAAGCGCG
rnacentral:rRNA from 1 species